CGGCCCGCCAGAGGACCCAAACUCUAAUGUUUCUUAUUGUAACUUCUGAGUAAAACAAACAAAUAAAUCAAAACUUUCAACAACGGAUCUCUUGGUUCUGGCAUCGAUGAAGAACGCAGCAAAAUGCGAUAAGUAAUGUGAAUUGCAGAAUUCAGUGAAUCAUCGAAUCUUUGAACGCACAUUGCGCCCGCUGGUAUUCCGGCGGGCAUGCCUGUUCGAGCGUCAUUUCAACCCUCAAGCCCCCGGGUUUGGUGUUGGGGAUCGGCUCUGCCCUUCUGGGCGGUGCCGCCCCCGAAAUACAUUGGCGGUCUCGCUGCAGCCUCCAUUGCGUAGUAGCUAACACCUCGCAACUGGAACGCGGCGCGGCCAUGCCGUAAAACCCCAACUUCUGAAUGUUGACCUCGGAUCAGGUAGGAAUACCCGCUGAACUUAAGCAUA
rnacentral:rRNA from 1 species